CUCCAGAGCACUGAAAUUCAGAGGGUGCCAAUAUUUGUUGCCCUUUAGCAGCUUAGAAACAAUUGUGCCUAGCACCUGGUUGGCAAAAAUAUUAGGAUGCUCAAGGAAUUUUGUUUUCUCAUUGAAAACAUCCCAGGUUUGUUCCUUCCCCACCCCCCUCCCAGAAAUAAAGAGCCUGCCUAGCAGAGUCCUCAUAAUGUCUCACUGUCUCCCCUUUGAUCUCAUAGAUUUCAUGCCACUUGGGCCAGAAGUAAAAUGCUACUUGGGUCCAUUUCCUGACUCACCAUGUGAACUAAGAUGAGAACAGUGACGCUGAGAGACACAUAGCCCAAAGACACACCGUUGGUAUCUGAAGCAAGAUUCAAACUCAGAUCUUCUCAACUCCAUGUUAUACACUUUAUCUGUCAUAUUACUUACCUUAGAGGUAACUGAGAAUUAAAUAGGACUUAGAACUAGAGCCACCGAGAGUUUAUUCAGAAGAGGAGUGGCAUGAUUAUAAUUAAGUUUUGGAAAAUCACCUUGGCAGCUCUAUGGAAGAUGGGCUUGCAAAGGAAAGAGAUUUAAGCCAGGGAGACCAAUGAAGAGGCUUCUGCAAAAGCUUGUGUAACC
rnacentral:lncRNA from 1 species